UUCGCAAUGCCCGAAAGGGUGACGAAGCGACGCCGCGUGUGGGAAGAAGGCCUUCGGGUUGUAAACCACUGUCGGGAGUUAAGAAAUGCAAGAAUGUUAAUAGCGUCUUUGCUUGACUAAGGCUCCGGAGGAAGCCACGGCUAACUCUGUGCCAGCAGCCGCGGUAAUACAGAGGCGGCAAGCGUUGUUCGGAAUUAUUGGGCGUAAAGAGCACGUAGGCGGCUAUAUAAGUCGGUUGUGAAAGCCUUCCGCUCAACGGGAGAACAGCAUCCGAUACUGUAUGGCUUGAGUGUGGGAGGGGAGAGCGGAACUUCUGGUGGAGCGGUGAAAUGCGUAGAUAUCAGAAGGAACGCCGGCGGCGAAAGCGGCUCUCUGGCCCAUAACUGACGCUGAGUGUGCGGAAGCUAGGGGAGCAAACGGGAUUAGAUACCCCGGUAGUCCUAGCCGUAAAC
rnacentral:rRNA from 1 species